CCUACGGGUGGCUGCAGUGGGGAAUAUUGGACAAUGGGCGAAAGCCUGAUCCAGCCAUGCCGCGUGUGUGAAGAAGGCCUUCGGGUUGUAAAGCACUUUCAGUGGGGAAGAAAGCCUUGGGGCUAAUACCCUCGAGGAAGGACAUCACCCACAGAAGAAGCACCGGCUAACUCCGUGCCAGCAGCCGCGGUAAUACGGAGGGUGCGAGCGUUAAUCGGAAUUACUGGGCGUAAAGCGCGCGUAGGCGGUCUGAUAAGCCGGUUGUGAAAGCCCCGGGCUCAACCUGGGAACGGCAUCCGGAACUGUCAGGCUAGAGUGCAGGAGAGGAAGGUAGAAUUCCCGGUGUAGCGGUGAAAUGCGUAGAGAUCGGGAGGAAUACCAGUGGCGAAGGCGGCCUUCUGGACUAACACUGACGCUGAGGUGCGAAAGCGUGGGUAGCAAACAGGAUUAGAUACCCUUGUAGUC
rnacentral:rRNA from 1 species